rnacentral:rRNA from 1 species
GAUGGACGCUGGCGGCGUGCCUAAUACAUGCAAGUCGAACGGGGAGUAGCAAUACUCUUAGUGGCGAACGGGUGAGUAACGCGUUGGUACCUGCCCCGAAGCGGGGGAUAACGGACCGAAAGGUCCGCUAAUACCCCAUGUGCUCGGUAACGAGUAAAGGUGAAAACCACUUUGGGAGGGGCCUGCGUCCCAUCAGCUAGUUGGUAAGGUAACGGCUUACCAAGGCGAUGACGGGUAGGGGACCUGAGAGGGUGGCCCCCCACAAUGGAACUGAAACACGGUCCAUACACCUACGGGUGGCAGCAGUAGGGAAUAUUGGUAAUGGGCGCAAGCCUGAACCAGCAACGCCGCGUGUGCGAUGACGGCCUUCGGGUUGUAAAGCACUUUUGACUGGGACGAGGAAGGACGGUACCGGUCGAAUCAGCCUCGGCUAACUACGUG